AUUAAAAGCUAGAGUAUAUUCGGCAAUAUUAACUAUUUUAAUAUUCUAAUAGUUGUUAGUUGUUUUAGUAAUUGUUAGCUAUUUAUAUAACUAUUAAAGUAAAAGUAUUUAGUAAAAAUAACCGUUAGAUUAGCUGUUAGAUGUAAAAAUAGUGAUAAAAUCUUGUUGACUUUAAUCAAAACACUCACUCAAUCUCUAAAAAAUAGAAUUAAUAGUUUUUCAUGAAUCAUUCCCUCAAGUUAGUAUAAGC
rnacentral:misc_RNA from 1 species